ACCAAACGAGCAAGAUGGGCCGAAUGGCCUCCUCUCGUUUGUAAACUUUCUUAUGUUCUUAUAAGUGAGGUAAACUGGCAUUCCUGGAUACCAGCAUCAUUCUGUCAUUCCCCCAGACACAUUCAUCCCCUGAAUAUGCUAAAAUUACAUCCCUAGCCAGAGUGGCAGUCCCCAAAAUAAACCACCCUCUGACUCCCGAACUCAUCUGGUCCUAAAGCUCCCCCUAACCUAACUAUUUACAAUGACAACUUCCCCUAACUCCCCAGGCCCUUGGCAGCUGAGGCUAUCAGCUUCGUCCUGGGUAACUGUUGCGGUUGGGUACCCCAACCAACAGCAGAAUGGGCAGUCCAUGUGGGCCCUUGUGGCCCUCCUCUGUCUGUAUGGGGCAGCAGGAACCAUCGCCGGUUGUGGCUCACCCACUGGAGAGUGGUACAACUCCUCUGUUGUGAGCAGCAGGUCUGGUUCUUCGGCUGGUGAGCUUUGGGCUCCUACCCCUGAUCCUGCGCUGUGAGUAGACCGACACUUUGUCUCCAGGUUGAAAGUGGGUCUCGGGCGUGGAUGUCGUACUGCCGCUUCUGCCGGUUAGACUCCCCUCUUACGUGGUGGUGGGCGAAUCGGUGGAUUUUAUCCAUACGGUGUAGGUAUUCCGGUCCCGGUGGUCGUCCAUAAAACAACUGUGGGGGUCCUGAGCUCCCUGCCAAACAUGAUGGCAUCAGGGAUGCACCCUGUGGUCUGGUGGACCGCUGUCCUAUAUGCCAUGAGCAGGAGAGGGGGGUGGGUGACCCAGUCAUGCUGGUGCUUCUCCACAAAGAAAGACAGCUGAACUUCCAAGGUGCGGUUGUAUUGCUCCACCAGUGCCGUGGUGCGUGUCUUCUGUAUCCACAGAAUCUUGCAUUGUAGCGUUCCCCAUCGACUGAUCCCACAGAGCCACUCCGGACCACAUUGUUCAGGUACAUAUAAGUAUUUAUUGCCUUUCAAAUGUUUACACUGUACCAGCCCACUCUAACAGUGUACCGGAAAGUUACAACCAGCUCAGCUUCUGCCCGGGCUAACCCUGCGCACUCCUAUAUAAUCAUUCCCUUAUCCCGCCCACACGAGACUCAAUCUCCUAUCAUAAUCGCAUAUUGCCAGCGAAAAACACCCAUGGGACCCCGAUUUGUCAAUGAAGACGCCAUAAUAUGCUAUAGGCAUGGUGUGUGUCUAUGUAGAACCACCCCGGGAGCAGACUGGUCCCUAAUCCUGUUUCCCCUUUUACAACAAUAGAGGUGAUAGCACGUUACAAUACAAUAUACCUGUUCAUCCAUUGGCUCAAUGUUGUAUUAUAUUCUUGUUUUCCAAAAGGAGCCAUAUUAAACAAAAAUUAGAGAUUGAAAUUAUUUUAUACAACCAUUAAACAAGGGAACUUUUAUAAAAUCCCAAAGAACAACGGACUAACACUUUGAGCCACCAAAAAAGAACUCUGGGCAACCAUUGCUGUUUUCUGCCAGGGUUUUUUAUAGUGUAACACAGCUACAGUGUCCACAUUGAAUACAGAGUUUUUGUGUUGUGAGUUUGAUGAUUCUGUUUUCACAACCUAGAGAAAGAAUUUUAGUCAAACUGACAUUAUAUAGCACAAAAUUCUGGAAAUAGAAAUAUUUCCAACUGAUGAAAAUAGUUACCUACUUUUGCACAGUUGCCAAACUUUAAAAAACAAACAAACAAAAAGUGUGUGCAAUAAUUUAUAUAGUAUGGAGGAUUUAGUAUUUGAGCUGCAUGAACAAAUUAAAUAGUGGCGGUGGUUAACAUUGCCAACUUCAAAAAGUAUUAAUAAAUAAACGUAAUAAAAAUAAGUUUCACAACAUGCCAGGCAGUAUUGACUGCUGGAUGCAUAGGUAUGGUUUGAUUCUGAUCGAUUGAUUCAAGUGCACAUCCCAACUGUGAAAUGACAAAUUGAAAAGUGACAAGCACAAGUUAAUUCCUUGCACCAACACAUACUGACGUAUUUUUAGUCAGGUAAGUAUUAUUAUUCCAAGCCCAAAGAAUCUCACAAUUUUGUAUUUUCAAAAGAUGGUAGGUAUAUGCAUGUAACUCACUUUUCUUCUUUCUUUUUUUUUUAAUUAAUGUUGGAUAUUUGUUUUUGUGCCCUUAUUAAACCAAUCGAAAAAUCUUGAGAUAUAAUAUGCCUUGUCCAGCAUCCAUGAUAAUGUCAUUUCAUGUUGCUUUUUGCAUAAUUGUAGGUGUGUAAAGUCAACAAAGUUAUUUAGUAUGUUUUUGUUUUUAAUCAAUGCAGUGGUUUUGUGAAGAAAUAACUACUGACGAUGGACUUGAAAGGCAGAAAAGCCCUUUAAGUUUCGAGGGGAUCUGGUGUACAGACGCCAGGACUUUCAGAGGAAUGAAGCAACUGAGCCCAAACCACGUCAAGCACAAAAUAGUGGGUCGGAGGAAACAGUUGAUGCUAAGGUCCAAGCAUGCCCGGCAACAUACGGAGAAUACAAAAAGUAUGUGAGGCCUCAGUACUGCAGGAAGGCUACAGAGGAUCUGUUGUGCAAGUCUGGUAGAAGAAAAAGCAAACACAGAGGAACAAAUCUCAUUGAACUGUCCGGGUCAUGAAGAGAUGAAAGAUACCUGGCUAAGGACAUGCAUAUGUUUUGUAAGACCAAGCUGCUGUUCUGCACUCGUCGUGUGUCAUCAAGGAGGAGAUUGAUGGGAUACUCCGCAGCCUACAACUGAAGAAAGAGACACUUCACCUAAUUACAGAGGUGAUGGGAGAAGACCUUGUUGUAGAAAAGUUAAAAGAGGAAAGCCAGGAAGCUGAAAAUUCCUCCUCGCUGGCCUGACUACAGGUGCUGUCAGGCCCUAUGUUUGAGGAGAAGUGGUUUGGCAAGAUCCGGGAAACAGUCCUGUCUGGAGAAGGGACAGACUGCUGUUGGUAGAUGAAAUGAAUAAAUGUAACAUUUGUCAAGUACUGCAUGAAAUAGAAUGUCUGCCAUCUUCAGAAAUAUUUUACACACUGACGAACAUCACCAGAGGAGGUUGCUUGAUGUGUUUUAACUAAAAGGUCAUGAAGAAAAAACUCUUAAUUCCAAAAUAUCAAAACCAGUUAGCAACAAAUACAAAAAAGAUUUGCUUUUGAUGCUGUCCUUUUAUAGCCUGUAAUUUUAUGACCUUGUACUGUUCUACAUUUUUUUUUCUUUUUUAAAAAAAUUAAA